UGGCAUCCUUAGUACGGCGAGUGACCGGGAUGAGCUCAAAUUUGAAAUCUGGCGUCUUUCAGGCGUCCGAGUUGUAAUCUAUAGAGGCGUUUUCCGCGCCGGACCGCGUCCAAGUCUCUUGGAAUAGAGUAUCAAAGAGGGUGACAAUCCCGUACUUGACGCGACAACCGGUGCUCUGUGAUACGUUCUCAAUGAGUCGAGUUGUUUGGGAAUGCAGCUCUAAAUGGGUGGUAAAUUCCAUCUAAGGCUAAAUAUUGGCGAGAGACCGAUAGCGAACAAGUACCGUGAGGGAAAGAUGAAAAGCACUUUGGAAAGAGAGUUAAACAGCACGUGAAAUUGUUAAAAGGGAAACGAUUGAAGUCAGUCGUGUGGGAAGUAUUCAGCCGUCUCUGGCGGUGUAUUUGCUUCUCACGGGUCAACAUCAGUUUGAUCCGGUAGAAAAAGGCGGGAAGAAGGUGGCACCCUCGGGUGUGUUAUAGCUUCCUGUCAUAUGUGCCGGACCAGACUGAGGAACGCAGCUUGCAGCAAUGCCGGGGUUCGCCCACGUACAAGCUUAGGAUGUUGACAUAAUGGCUUUAAACGACCCGUCUUGACCC
rnacentral:rRNA from 1 species